UUUUGGACAAUGGGCGCAAGCCUGAUCCAGCAAUGCCGCGUGCAGGAUGAAGGCCUUCGGGUUGUAAACUGCUUUUGUACGGAACGAAAAGGCUCUGGCUAAUACCUGGGGCUGAUGACGGUACCGUAAGAAUAAGCACCGGCUAACUACGUGCCAGCAGCCGCGGUAAUACGUAGGGUGCGAGCGUUAAUCGGAAUUACUAGGCGUAAAGCGUGCGCAGGCGGUUUUGUAAGACAGGUGUGUAAUCCCCGGGCUUAACCUGGGAACUGCACUUGUGACUGCAAGGCUGGAGUACGGCAGAGGGGGAUGGAAUUCCGCGUGUAGCAGUGAAAUGCGUAGAUAUGCGGAGGAACACCGAUGGCGAAGGCAGUCCCCUGGGCCUGUACUGACGCUCAUGCACGAAA
rnacentral:rRNA from 1 species